AACAAUCUUCGAGAAGCCAUUGGAAGCAUGGCACAGAACAAGGGCUCGCAAAAUUGCGGCGCAGAAAAACUCGGUUCUCUUGCUCGGCACCGCCCCAGGGGCGACCCGAGCGCCGCCACCUCCUUCUCCCCAGCGCUCCCUCACUCCUCCCCUCCGACUCGCCGCCGCCGGAGUUCGCCGGUGGAAGUCCACUCGGCCGCGAUGAGGGCGGCGGCGGGCGCCCCUUCCCUUCCUUUAAGGAUCUCCUCUUUCUCCUUUCCCUCCUUUUCUUCCUGCCGGGCUUGCUGCACUAGUCGCCGGCUGCUGGCCGUCGACGUCCUUUUCGCCGGCUGUGCGCAGAUCCGGCACCGGUGGGUGCGGAUCCAGGGCCGUCUGGCCCGUGAGGGCAAGCCCCUUGAGGUUCCGCUUGGGGCAUGCCGGCUGAAGCAUGAAGCAGCCCGACCUCCAUCGUCAGCCGUUCGAGAUGGUCGGGUGCUUGUUUCACUACUGGAUUUCGACGCGCGGCCGUGGCCCUGCGCCAUUCCCGGCGGCGAGCUGUUGGUGCCCUUCGUCGCCGCUUCCUUCGGCUUCCGGGUGCUGCGUGCGAUGCCCCCAUUGCGGAGCCUACGAGCGCCGGGGGAUGGCGGUUGCGGCGGCUGGUGGCUUGCGUCGCUGCCGGCCUACGCCACUCUGGUCGGUCCGGCGGCCGCUGCCGUCAUUUCCGGCCUCCCGGGGCCCUGAUCUGCCAUUUGGGGAGGGUGCGCGUCCUUAGCCACGCGCCAUUCCCGGUGGCGUGCCGUUGCUGCCCUUCGUCGCCGCUUUCUGCGGCCUCUGGGUGCUCCACGCGACGCCCCCGCUGCGGGGCCUGCGUGAGCGCCGGGGGAUGGCGGCCGCGGCGGCAUGUGGCUUGCGUCGCCACCGGCCUGCCAUUCUUGUCGGUGGCUGCUCCGUGCUCUGCAGUGUUUUGGCCGGAGUGGCUCGUGAUGGUACUGAGCCUUGCCUUGCUUCAGCCGAGCUCUUGCAGUGGAUGACUUGGUGGCAGCUUGGUCCCCGGUGGCAGCGGGGAACACUUCUUCGUCUCUGCUCUUCCCGAUUUGUAUGUAUAUGGCGUGUUGGGCCUUGACCGAGCAGCGAAAGCGUUGCGCGCGGUGUGCGGGGAGGAAUUCCACCUCCGCUUGGUCCGCCUGUGCCUGGUGCUCAUGCCUUUCAUUGGCCGAUGUGCAGCGAAAGCAUCACGCUCGGUGCGCAGGGAAUAUUUCACCUUUACACAUAUCACCGCUCCAGCUGAGUUCUCGGAGUCUCCUACUUCUUCUCUGCUCGUACUCUUUUUGGAUCUGCUUGAUGUUGGUCGGUGGCUAUUGUCGUGGUUCGUACAUGGAGCUUGGAUGUAUUGCAAGUGGUGAUGCGCUCAACUUCGAGGAAGCUGGAUGUGUCCGAUGAGCUUCGUUGGCGCGCUUUCCACUACCCUUAAUCUCUACUUCAUUGGGCGUUCCCUCAAAUGGAGGGCACCAAUGGUGCGGCGUAGCUACGAGGGAUGGUGCGAAUGCGUAAUGGCGGGGUUACAUCUGGCUUGCAGCAGCGCGUGGACUUCGGCCUAUAUGUGCAGCGAGGCCGCCAUGAGCUAUGAAGAACAGGGAAUCAGGGGUGCGAGGUUGGUCGAAGUGCGGCGGUCGGCGCUCCGCCGAGCCACGGCACGAAGCAGAGGAGGGUUGAUUUACCGUCACGCGAGGAGGAGCAUUGGGUGGUAGCUACGACGGUGGGCGGCGGACCGCCCGCCACGGAUGGUCCUCCAGUAUAUGAGCAGACUGGAUUAAUCGCGAUUCGGAUUUUUGCAGAUAGGCCCCUGGUUCGUCUCGGCUUCCGUCCGGUGCUGCCCGCCGCCGCCGCUGGCCGCAGCCGUCACCGCCGCCCUCUGUCCCGGCGGGGAUCGCCAGGCCCACAACGAAUGCCUGCCUCACCAGCUUGCACCAGCAACAUCUCCGGUCCGCUGCUCCUGCAGCUACGACCGGACGGCGGGCGGCGGAGGCGCGGCGCCGCCCGCCGCGUCCGAGCCACGCGGCGCUUGUGCUCGCUCCUGCUGGGCAUGGGCACACGGCGGACAUGGUACGCGCUGCGCCUCAGGCCCCAGAAAACGAACGCAGCCUGAAUCGCUGAUGGACACGGUUCGUCAACGAAUGGGGCAGGGCUUUGCCUGCGGUUUUAAACAAUAAAAAAAAUGGUUCGUUAGUGCGUCUGCUUCAGAUCGUACAGCCAGUUUUUGUCCGAAGAAAUCUUCCUGCUUCUAUUGCCCCGGAUGUGUUCAUAUCAGCUUCGAUUCCUUGUAAAGGCAAACAGCGUUUCAGAAUGUGCCAAAGCCUGAAUAUUC